rnacentral:rRNA from 1 species
UACGUAGGGUGCAAGCGUUGUCCGGAAUUAUUGGGUGUAAAGAGCUCGUAGGCGGUUUGUCGCGUCUGGUGUGAAAAUCCAGGGCUUAACCCUGGACCUGCAUCGGGUACGGGCAGACUAGAGUGCGGUAGGGGAGAUCGGAAUUCCUGGUGUAGCGGUGAAAUGCGCAGAUAUCAGGAGGAACACCGGUGGCGAAGGCGGAUCUCUGGGCCGUAACUGACGCUGAGGAGCGAAAGCAUGGGGAGCGAACAGG